AUAUCAUUAAUAAGUAAUUUAGCCACAAACAAUCGUUAAAAAAUAAUAUCUCAUCAUAAAAAACUUUGUAUCGGAUCGAUGAAAAAUGUUAUCAUUUCUUUGUGUGUAAAUAUUAAGUUACGUUACGUUACGCAAUAAAUAUAUUAUAUAUAUAUUAGUUUAUCGAAGCGAGAUAUAUAUAAAUUUAUAUAUAUAUAUAAUGAAAACUAUAUAAAUCGGAGCUUGUAGUAUUAAGAAAAUAAAGGAGGAGAGGAAGAGAAAACAAAGAAAUAUUCGCAUUUAUAUUAUACAGUUCGGAUGUUUUGCAAUAUUCUUUGUUUUUAUUGCUUCUGGCAAAUAUAUAUAUCUGUUAUGUUUAAGAAUAGAUAUAGUAUGUAUGUCUGUGUGUGUGUAUGUGUGCGUGAAAUGGCAAAGUAGCUCCGAAAAAACUCAUUUCACUGCUGUUUCUACUUCUCAACAUUGUGCCUUCGUUAUUAUAAACAGACUGAGUUUAUGUAGAAGUGACAAUAAAAGAAUUGGAUGUUUGAAUCUGUCUUUUGAAGAAACAAGGAAUAUUUUCUAUGCGUUUUUUUUUCUAAAAGUUAAUAAAAGAUCCAAUUGUAAAUUUUUAAAUAUUGGUUUUAUUUCUUAUUCCAUGAUCUUUAAAACGAUA
rnacentral:lncRNA from 1 species